ACAUUUUUACCAAAAAAAGGAGGCUAGUACUUUGGAACGAUUGUCUUGAGCGAGCGAGCACCGAUCGUCGUCUUCGGCGAGAGCGAGCGAGCACCGACCGUCUUCUUCAGCGAGAGCGAGCAGCGAUCGUCUUCUUCAUCGAGAGCGAGCAGCAAUCGUCUUCUUUGUCGAGCGAGCGAGUGUCCUCUUCGUCUCUGUGGUUUUGAUUUCUAGGUUUUGUCCUAAUUUCAGGUUUCAUCUGGAAGCUUCUUUGCUCUCAAUUACCCAGAUCAUCUACAUACAUAUGUUGCAUUGCAUAGUAAAGAAGAAGCAGAGAAUAACUAUCUAAACUCGUUUUCAUCUGGAUACAAAGAAGAAGCACUGUAGCAGAGGCAGUCAUGAACUGAUACUCUGGUUCCACAAGCUGCCACUACGACAAAAAAUGUUUUUAAGUCUCAAGGUACAUUAGACCAAUUUACCAGGUUUGAUUUCUAUUUUUUUAAUUUUAAAGUUAAAAUUUUUGUUUUGUUUAUUCUCUUUUGCUUAUUUUUCUACAGAGUUUUGGCCCCAAGGGCUUG